CUCAUUGUAGUUUUAAUUCAUCUUAUGUCUGAUGAUUAGUGAUGCUGAGCAUUUUUAAAAUAUGCUUAUUGGCUAUUUAUGUGUCUUCUUUUGAAAACUGUUCGUGUCCUUUGUCCACUUUUUAAUGAGGUUAUUUGUUUUUUACUUGUUGAAUUGUUUGAGUUCUCUAUGGGUUCUAGAUAUUAGUCCUUUGUUGGAUUCAUGGUUAGCCAAUAUUUUCUCCCAUUCUGCAGGUGGUCUACUUACUCUGUUGAUUAUGUCUUUUCCUGUGCAGAAGCUUUUUAGGUUUAAUUAAGUCCUAUUUCUCUAUUUUUGUUUCUGUUACAUUUGCUUUUGAAGUAUUAGUCGUGAAUUCUUUGCCUAAGCCAAUAUUCAACAGAGUUUUUUGGCCAGGUGUAGUGGCUCUUGCCUGUAAUCCCAGCACUUUGGGAGGCUGAGGUGGGAGGAUUGCUUGAGCCCAGGAGUUCAAGAGCAGCCUAGGCAGCAUAGUGAUACCCUGUCUCUACAAAAAAAUUUUAAAAAUUAGCCAGGCAUGGUGGUGUGCACCUGUAGUUCUAGCUACUCAAGAGGCUGAGGCAAGAUAAUCGCUUGAGUCCAGGGAGUUGAGGUUGCAGUGAACCAUGUUUGUGCCACUGCACUUCAGCCUGGGUGUGAGAGAGAGACUCCAUCUCUUUAAAGAAAAAGAGUUUUUCUUAGGUUUUCUUCUAUAGUUCUUAUAGUUUCAGAUCUUACAUUUAAGUCUUUAAUCCAUUUUGAGUUGAUUUUUGGAUAUGGUGAGAGAUAUAGCUCCUAUACUUAUGCAUAUGGCUAUGCAAGUUUUCCAGCACCCAGCAUCAUUUAUUGAACAGGAUGUCCUUUCCCCAUUGUAUGUUCUUGCUGCCUUUGUGGAAGAUCAGUUGGCUCUAGGUAUGUGGCUUCAUUUCUGGGUUUUUUAUUCCAUUCCAUUGAUGUAUAUAUCUGUUUUUAAACCAGUACCAUACUGUUUUGGUCACUAUAGCCUUGUAGUAUAAUUUGAAGUUAGAUAAUGUGAUGCCUCUAGAUUUGUUCUUUUUGCUUAGGAUUGCUUUGGUUAUUUGGGCUCUUUGGUCCCAUAUGAAUUUUAGCAUUUUUUUUUCCAAUUUUGUAAAAAAUGAUGUUGAUAUUUUGAUAGGAUUUGCACUGAAUCUAUAGAUCGCAUUGGGCAGUAUGGUCUUCUUAACAAUAUUGAUCCCUCCAAUCCAUGAGCAUGGGAUAUAGAUGACACAAACAUUUGUGUCAUCUACAAUUUCUUUUAUCAAUGUUUUAUAAUUUUCUUCGUAGAGACCUUUUAUCUCCUUCAUUAAAUGUAUUCCUAAGUAUUUUAUUUUAUUUUUUAAUUAUUUUUGUAGCUGUCGUAAAUGGGGUUGAGUCCUUGAUUUGGUUCUCAGCUUGGUCAUUACUGGUGUAUAGAAAUGCUACUGAUUUUUGUAUGUUGAUUUUGUAUCCUGAAACUUGACUGAAUUCAUUUAUCAAAUCUAGUGAUAGUUGGAGGAGUCUUUAGGGUUUUCUAAGUAUAAGAUAAUAUCAUCAGCAAACAGAGAUAAUUUGACAUCCUCUUUUCCAAUUUGGAUGCCUUUUAUUUCUUUCUAGUGCCUGAUUUUCUGGGUAGAACUUCCAAUGCUUUGUUGAAUAGAAGUGGCAAAAAUGGGCAUCCUUGUCUUGUUUUAAUUCUUAGGGGAAAUACUUUCAAAUUUUCCCCAUUCAAUAUGAUGUUGGCCAUGGGUUUGUCAUAUAUGGCUUUUGUUGUUUUGUUGUUCUAUGCCUAGUUUGUUGAGAGUUUUUAUCAUGAAGGGAUUCCGAAUUUUAUCAAAUGCUCUUCUGCAUCUGUUGAGAUGAUCAUAUGGUUUUUGUUUUUAAUUCUGUUUAUUUGGUGAAUCAUAUUCAUUGAUUUGAAUAUAUUGAACCAUCCUUGCAUCCCUGGAAUAAAUCCACCUUGAUCAUAGUGCAUGCUAUGGUUUUAGAUGAUCUGACCAUACAUCUCAGUUGCUCAGAACAAUGUCCACAUGUUUCCUCUGUGCCAUUAUUAAGAUGGUCCCCUUCCCCUUUUAAAAGCAUCCUGGGACAAUAAAUUCUAUAGGCACUCUAGUUUUAGAGGUCCAAUAAAUAAAAAAUAAACUUAUGGUCUAUGUGUUAAAAAUAUUAGGGCAUGGCUUUCUAAGCAUGGCUUGAAAUCUGAGUUCUACACUAUUCCUAAUUAGUUCUUUGGCAAAUUCUGAUGCUAAGCCCAAAUAUUCCUGUUCUGAGGUCUCCUUUAUCCCUUUCAUAAAUGAUCCUGUGAGCUUUGGACUUUAGGGUUCAAAUUUAGCCUGGAGAAGACUUGUGAUUGUCUUUCAAGAAGUUGUUAGCUACUUUGUAAUUAACUCAACCUUCAAGGAUGGAGGUUGUAUUACUACCUGAAGUAGACUGUACACCAAUCUGUUGGUACACUCUGACUACCUGGAAAGGGUUGACAGAAUUAUAUAAGGCUACAUCACUAAAUGGGCAGAAUUUUAACACUGAGUGUAAUGCUCAGAAUCCAUGCUGGCAAGGCAGACUGAAUUAGCAUUAUAUUUGCUUGCAAAAAUGAAAAUAACCUGUCUUACAUAAUACUGACAAUAUUUUGCUGUAAUUCUGCCUUUUGAGCUUAGUGAAAUUCCUAUAACUUCUUUGCCAAGUUAUUUCCAAGCUAUAGGAAUGUAGACAUCUAUCUGUGUUACUAUUACUUUCAUAUACAAAUAGAAUUGCAUCUCAAGUUUACAACCUUAACUUUCAAAGUCCUUUACAUGUUAAGUUUUUUUUUUUUUUUUUUUUUUUUUACAUUGCCUUUACAAUUCACUUACAGUCUGUGAGGCCAACUUUGUUGUCAGGCCAGAUUAUAAUCAAGCUAUUCUUUGUUGAACCAAUAUGCCCUCUCAGGGAAUGAUCGUAAUCAAUCAAUGGUUUUACCAUUUAAAAAUUCCCUAUCAGGGAGUUUGAAUUAUUUUUCUUCCCUUUCAUUUUUGUUUAAGCUCUAUUGUUUUUUGAGCUAGAUAAUUUUCUUUGAGCUGGAAAAUUAUCCUAAUCUUGGUUAAUAAAUAUUAGACUAGUGCUAGUGAUACUACAUUAAUAGAGAAGAAUGUGCAAAUUAUGAUAUGCAAUUGGACUUAAUGAAGAAUAAUGGUGUAUUUAAGAGUGUUCAAAAAUUCAGAAUUUCCACAAAGCCUCUAUCUAAUUCUUUAAUCUUGGUGAAAUUAAACUGAGUAUUGAUAGUGAAGCAAUAAGGAAAAAUAUGAGGAUGUUAUAAUUCUUUUCAUGGAAAAUGUUUCAGAUCCAGAAUCAAAUCCUCACAUUUAGAUUUGACCUUGGGCAGUACCUCCUUUACUGGGCUGGCAAAAGGUUAAAUGAGUUAAUGAUUGUGAACUGCAUUGUUGCAGGUUGGAUUCUGCCAGCUUUGAUGGCUCUGACAGUGCUUCCAGUUCUGAUGGCCUAUUUCCAGAUUUUUAUCUUAGAGACAAAGAAACCUCGAUCUUGUCUAAAUCUCUGUUAUUGUGGAGUUUAAUUCUCUUGGAACCUAAUCCCAACUCAUAAAAGGUCUCAUCUACUCUUAUCAUAUAAUUUUUUUUAUUACUUGGCAUUUCAUAGAUCAUGAGUUCCAUGAUGGUAGAGAUCAUUCUUUUUGCUUGUAUAUGUCCUGUAGCCUCUGUCACUUAAAAAAGUUACUCAGUUUACAUUUUUAGUUGAAUAAUUUACCACAUAGUUCAUAUGUUUAAAGCAUGUAAAAGAAUUUUUUAUGUUGGAAAGUUUCAAGUUGUCAUAAAAGUAGAUAAAAUAGUUCAGUGGGUUCCCGUGUACUCAAUAUCCAGCUUCAACAAUUAUCAACUGAUGACCAACAUUGCUUUAUCUUCUCUUUCCCCUGCUGCCUACAUUUUUAAAAGACCAAUAUCAGACAUCGUAUAAUUUUAUCUGUAACUUUUUUACUAUGCACUUCUCACAAUAAGAAUCAAACAUAACCACAAUAACACAUUCGUACCUAUAAAAUUAACAGUAAUUUUUAAAUGUCAUCCAAUACUCAGUGCAUGUUCAAAUUAUCACUUAUCCCAAAAAUGUCAUAUGGUUUAAAAAUCAAUUUUGUUAAGGUAUGUCUUACACACAAUAAGAUCUGCCUAUUUUAAGAGUACAUUUAAAUGAGCUUUGACAAGGGUGUACACACCUAUAACCACCAUCAUAAUCAAAGAGAAUAUUUUGAUUCCACAAAAAGCUGCCUCAUCUUCCUGUAGUCAAUUCUACCUCCCUGCCCCAUCCUUAGCCCCAGGCAACAGUGAAUGUGCUUUUUGUUACAUUAUAUAUCACAAAUAUACCUGUAUGUGUGUGCGUGUGUACAUAUAUAUAAAAUAUACAUGUUAUUUUAUAUUUAUAUAUAUAGCCACUUAAAACUUUUCCUGCUUAUAAAUAAUUUUUAGCAAUUUGAUUAUGAUGUUAUUUGUGUUUAUCUAUCUUGGGUAUCAUUGAGCUUCUUGGAUCUGUGGGUUUAUCGUUUGCAUCAGAAAUGGCAAAUUUUCAGUCACGAUUUCAUCAAAAAAAUUUUUUUUGCCACCUUCUAUCUUCUUGGGCUCCAAUUACAUGUAUGUUUGACUGAUGGAUAUCAUGCCACAGGUCACUGAGUUUCUGUUUUUGUUUUUGUCUUUUCUCCUCUCUGCUCAUUAGUUGAAUAUUUUCUACUAUAGUGUCUUUGUGUUCACUGAUCUUUCUUUUGUAGCAUCUGAUCAACUGUUAUGAUUGUACAAUGAAUUUUUCCCUGCAGAACUUGUAUUUUUCUUUUCUAGAAUUUCCAUUUUAGGCUGGGCGUGGUGGCUCAUGCCUGUAAUCCCAGCACUUUGGGAGGCUGAGGUGGGCGGAUCACGAGAUCAGGAGUUUAAGGCCAGCCUGACGAAUAUGGUGAAAUCCCAUCUCUACUAAAAAUACAAAAAUUAGCCAAGUGUGGUGGCACACGCCUGCAAUCCUAGCUUCUCAGGAGGCUGAGGCAGAAGAAUCGCUUGAACCCGGGAGGUGGAGGUUGCAGUGAGCUGAGAUCGCACCACUGCACUCCAGCCUGGGCGACAGAGCGAGACUCCAUCUCAAAAAAAAAAAAAAAAUAAUAAUAAUAAAAUCAUUUUCUGCUGUUCCCAGCAUCUCUGUUAUUUAUCUCUGUUUCUUUUGACUGAUUUUUCCUUUUGCUAUGGGUCAUAAUUUGGUGAUUUUUUGCAUGUCUAAUAAUUUUUUGUUGGAUGCAGGACAUCAUGAGUUUCUGUUGUUUAGUAUUUAGAUACAGUUGUCUUCCUUAAAAAAUUCUGAAAUUUGUUUUGGCAGACAGGUAAGUUAUAUGUAAGUUAUAUGUUUACUGAUUAAUCUUUACUAGACUUGCUUUAAAGCCUUUUUAGAACAAUUCUAGAAUAGGCUGUUCUUCAGGGCUAAGUUAGCUCUAGUACUAAGGUUUGAUCCUUCUGAAAUCUCUACAUAUUGCUCUGAGUGUUCCAGAAGGUGUAUCUGCUCUGGCUCGUUAGAAUUUGCAUGCCUCUCAGCCUUGUGCAAGUCUGGGAAUGGUUUUGAUUAUAGUUCUUCCGUUCUUUAUCUAGCCUUGUGGAUCUUCCCCCUAUGAAUGUACAGAUUAAUAUUCAGCCAAUGACUCAAGGGGCCACCUCUGUAGAUCUCCGUAACUCUUUCUUUGCACAAUUCACUUGUCUCUGAACUUGGCUCUACCAAUUCCAGCUGGAUCAGCCUCUCCAAAGCCUGAUCUGUUUCUCUUCAACUCAGGGAGAUUGUGGUGCUUUUCCUGGCCUCCCCUGUCCCUUUCAUGCUGUUUAAAAGUCGCUGUCAGGCAGAAAUCCAGGACAGUUGUAAAACUCAGCUCCUUUGCUUUCUUUUCUCAGGAUCAUAGUCUUACAUUGUUUGAUAUCCUGUGUCUGAAAAAGAUGUUUUUAAACAUUUUUGUAUAAUUAUCUUUUAGUUUUGGAGGGGAAGAAAAUCCUAUACCAGUUUCUUCUUCAUGGUCAAAAAUCAAAAUCACGCAUUUUAAAAACCGUUUAUGCAUUUUGAAUCAGGACUCAAAGUAAGCAUGUUUAUAUUGGUCAGUGUGUCUUCCUACCUUUAUUUAAUAAGUAAUUAAGUCAAUCCUUUACCCUUCACUCUCUCUCUCUUUUUCUUUCCAUCCUGUUUUGUUGAACAAAACCUGAAAUGUUUGUACAGUUUCCAACAUUCUGGAUUUUACUGAUUGCAUUCCCAUGAUGUCUUUUAACAUAUUCCUCCACAUACAUUUCCUGUUAAUUGGUAAUUGGAUUUAGAGCCUUGAUCAUAUUCAGAUCAGAUUUUUUUUUAUAAAACUACAUUAAAGGUAUUGUUUGCUUUUCCAUCACAAAAGGAGCCCAUAUUGUCUCUCUUUUUGUAAUCUUAGCAGCUACUGAUGCUCCAUAACUAGAUCAAAGCACUGCUUUUAAUUUGCUAGUUUAUCAGACACUGGGCUUUAGCUGGGUUCAAUUUCUAGACUAUGCAAAUGGCACUAUUAUUUCUAGCUAUGCACUUGUUUUCAGAAUAUCAAUUACAAUGAUAAAUUGGAGCUCAAAUACAAAGUAGAUUUUUUUUAACUUGCUCAAGAAAAAGUUGGCUAAUUUUUACCAAUUGGCGGGAGGCCAGCCUCAAUUAUAUCAAUCCAUAUGUUACUUUCAACGUUAUGCUCCUUUCAAGGUUAUGCUCCAGCUAAAGUUGGGCUCAAGUGGUACUGCCAUGAGAGAAGGCACCCUUAGAUUGCCUUCAGUUAAACAAGAAUGGCUUUACGUAUUAGUCAUAAGACAGGGAUGCUUUUGUAGUGCUUAAGGGUAUGUACAAGCUGUUUGUAGUCUAAAUUUACUUAAGGACUUCCUUUCAUGCUAGUUUAUGGGGCUGAUUUAGGAACACAGGAUUUUCCAAGCAAAUGUGAGUGUCUGUCCCAGCUCUCGUACUAGUAAGCAUGGGAUUAUUUAUUUCUACACAGCACUUUCUCUAAUGCCCUUUCACAUCUUCUUCCUUAGGAUGUUUCUUUGAUACUAUCAGACUAAUUUUGUAAGACAUAGAAACUGGGGCUCAGAAGAUUCAGGGACUUGGAGAAGGUCAUUUAGCUAGGCUCCCUCCUUCAGUCUCCUGAUGGUGUCACGCCUGUGCCCCAUGCCCUGAAACACAGUGGGAAAGGUCUCUUUAGUCUCCCCACUCACCACACCUGUGCAGAAGAACCAGCCUGUAUGUUGACAUGUCUUCACUGGUCUGCUCAGUAAGUCGUGUGUGUAGGCAUACUCCCGAAAGUGGUUCUGAGCUGUGCGGGCAGUCUGUCUGGUUCCUCGUACUAAUCUACGGUAUCCCUUGUCCUUCUGGAAUGCGCCCAAGAUCUUUUGUCUAUUUGGUAAAGCACAAUAUUUGUUUCUCAAGCUCUGUGUUGUUUGUUUUUGGAGUAUUGUGGUAUUAGUAUUCCUUCCUCCACACACUCCAGGUACACCUUAGAGGGCAAUCUUUUUCUCUCCAAGUUAAAAUAUUUGUUUAGUGUGGGAUUUUUCGUCUCAACUUUCUGGAAACUAUGUUUUAAAAGCUACUUCAGCCAUCUAAGCUAAGGUGUGGUGACAACCUCUCAGAAUUGAUGUGGCUAGGCCUUGGCAUACUGCCACACGAGACCUGAUUUUCUUUACUUCUUCGUCUCACUCUCUUAAGGGAAGUAAAACUCAACUUUAUUUUCACCAUCAUGAAGAAGUACAGCAGCCAUCCAGCCCCGAUUUUGGGAAUAGCCUUACUUCAAAUUCUCUGACUAAUUACACAAACUAAUGAGAUGCUCUGGAAUUCUGUACAAUUCAAUGUUCUGUCUAGGUCUUCCCACCUGUCUGCCUCCCUGGAGGAGAAAUGGCACAGAAACAUCUUUUGUAAGAUGCCGUGUCCUGUUUGUUGAUUCUAAAACUAUGGUCAUUAAAUUUUACUGCGUGAAAUGAUUUGUCUUGGCUGGGGUUUCCCUGAGACACAGCGUGAGAGGGGCUGCUGCAGGUAGCUUAUGUGAGAAAUGAUGCCAGGGAGCAGAAGUCAGGAGCAGGGAGAGGAAGGCAGGGGAGGGAAGCAAGGAGCCCUAAGAAAUGGAUUUAGGAGCUGUCUGCUUUUCCCUGGAGGGGUGAAGACUUUUCCAUGAUUCCAUCUCCCAUUUGGCAAGGGCCCCUGUACUUCCAGAUUUCUCCUGUGUGAGCACCUAGAGGUCCUGGCAGACAUCAGAGAGGGCUGGGGUCAAGGUGCUGAGGAGCUGUACCUACAAAGAACUGGUCACAGCAGAGGCUGGAAUGAGAGUUGGGCUGAGGUUACAACCAGAUGAGGAAGAUUAGGGUGAGAAGUAGGCUCAGGCUAGAAUGAGGUGGGCUGAGGCUAGAAUGAAUUGUGGUAGUUCCCACAGAGAGGUUAGAUAUUUCCUUGGGGGAGGGGAAACAAAUGUCAGCAUACAUCUGUUUAAUUGAAAGCAUCUCACAGUUUUACCGACUUCAAUUUAUAUUGAUAGCUGAGUAAAGAAGAGAGUGUUGGCAUUAAUAGUGCUGCUUAGCAGCUCCCUCCCUGGCAUUCCAUUUCCAUGUGUUAAGGGUUUAGUGUGGAUCUGGCUGUGGCACUGGAAGCAGUGUGGGAUCCCAUGGGGAAUGCACAAUUCAGCAGUAACCGGUUUGAGGGCUGCAGGGUUUACCCUGAUGCUGAUGUCAAUUAUAGCAAAUUGUAGGUCCUUUUCGAUGUUCUCUUUAUCUUUUACUAUUUUUAAAAGCCAUUUAAGGAUUGUAUGUAAGCAAUGGAAUAUUAUUCAGCCAUAAAAAAGAAUAAAACCAGUUGAAUACAGGUUAACUUGUACAAGUUCCUGUGAUACAGUAUCACAUUUUCUUCAUCCAUUCAUCCACUGAGGAAUACCUAGGUUGAUUCCAAAUCUUGGCUAUCGUGAGUAAUGCUGCAAUGAACACGGGAGUGCAGAUAGCUCUUUGACAUGCUGAUUUCCUUUCCUUUGCAUAGAUACCCAGUAGUGGCAUUGCUGGAUCACAUUUUAAAUUUUUAUUGAAAUUUAAAAAUUGUUCUAUUUUUAAUUUUUUGAGGAACCUCCAUGCUAUUUUCCAUAAGGGCUGCACUAAUUUACAUUCCCACUGAUGGUGUAUGAGAGAGUUCCUUUUUUCUCUGCAUCCUUCCCAGCAUUUGUUACUUUUUGUCUUUCCGAUAAUAGCCAUUCUAACUGGGGUGAGACAGUAUAUGGUUGUGGUUUUGAUUUGCAUUUCCCUGAUUAAUGAUGUUGAGUAUUUUGUGAUAUAUCUGCUGGCUACUUGUAAAUCUUCUUUGGGGAAAUGUCUAUUCAGGCCCUUUGCCCAUUUUAAAAUUGGAUGAUGAUUAUUAUUAUUAUUAUUUUUGCUGUUGAGUUGUAUGAGUUCCUUAUGUAUUAUGACUAUUAAUCCCUUGUCAGGUGCAUAGUUUGCAAAUACUUUCUUCCAUUUUGUAGGUUGUCUCUUCACUGUGUUGAUUGUUUCCUUUGUUGUAUGGAAACUUUUUAGUUUGAUGUAAUCCCAUUUGUCUAUUUUUCCUUUUGUUGCCUGUGUUUUUGAAGUAUUUUCCAAAAAAUCUUUGCCUACUCCAGUGUCAUGAAUAAUUUUCCCUAUGUUGUUUUUCUAGUAGUUUCAUAGUUUCAUGUCUUACAUUUCAACUUUUUAUCCAUUUUGAGUUGACUUUUGUAUACGGUCAGAGAUAGGCAUCUAGUUUCAUUGUUCUGCAUAUAAAUAUCUAGUUUUUCCAGCAUCUUUUAUUGAAGAGACUGUCCUUUUCCCAGUAAGUGCUAUUGACACCUUUGUUGAAAAUCAGUUGGCUGUAAAUGCGGAGAUUUAUUUUUGGGCUGUCUACUUUGUUCUAUUAGUGUAUGAGUCUGUUUUUAUGCCAGUACCUUGCUGUUUUGGUUACUAUAGCUUUGUGGUCUCUUUUAAAGUCUUCUAUCUCUUUCCAGCAGUGUAGUCUUGUCAAGCUACUUCAUCUCCCAGUAGCUGUUUCCUCACUGGGAAAAUAAGAGUUGCAGGCAGGAUUAAAUUCAAUAUGAAUUUAAUUUCCUGAAAAAGUCUUCUUAGGACCAUUGCUCCAUAAAUAAUGAAGAUUUUAGAGAAUAAGAAUGUGAUUUAUGGGAGCCAUAUGUUGUUGGGUGCUGCAUCCUUGGCAGUUUUCUAUAUUUUUCCUGUGGGGAGGCUCAACAAGUCAAUGAAUUGUGACAUGCCCUCACCAGAGGCUGCUUCCAUGGUGUGUGUGGUUUGAGACUGAAGAUGCUCAGUCUAGGCCAAAUGUCUGAUCUAGCCAUUUUGCCAUUUCACAUCAGCAAAGGGUGUGUGUGUGUGUGUGUGUGUGUGUGUGUGUGUGUGUACAGUGAGGGCGAUGGGUGCAGAGCUUUUUCGACACUAACCCUUUCUGGCAGGAACCUUCCCACCUCAGUUGACGUGGCUCUUUCUCCUGUCUCUCUACCACUUUAGCUUCUAAUAUUUUUAGCUCUGAGGGCUGACCAUGGCAAUGAGCUUUUUCACCAGGCACAUGACAAGUGUGUGAGACCCUCAGGGGGUCUGAGUUUGUCCUUGGACCAGGCCAUCCUGCGAAGUCUCUGUCUUGUUCCUCCUGAUGGAAUCUGGCCUCACACACUUGGCCCCUGAAGAGGAGCUCGUGUCCAGAAUGUGUGAUGUGGGAGGGGGAUGAUUGUCCCACUCCUCUCCCCAGCAUCAAAUUGAGCCUCUGGGAAACUGUGACUUCAGCAGAAUUCCUUAAAGAAUGUUGGUGCCUCACUUCACGGUUAGGGUAGGGUGGAAGGAAAGAUAUUCUGGCAGCAGGCUCUUGAGUUCCUACUGGGUGGACAUGCUGUCUUAGCUGACAAGGGUAAUUAUUGUUCCCCAGGCCAUUGUGAUGGAGUUGAGAAUAGCAAACCUAGAUGAAAUGACUUGAGAUGCUUAGAAAGGAAUUUAGCAACAAGUGGAGAGUAAUAUAGUGAAGAUCAAGUGCUGAGUGUCUACCAGGAAAGAACCCAUCCAAGUCAGUUCCAAAUCCCUUUGCAGAGACUUCCUGAUUAGGUGACUUUUGAAAGGGUUUUGGAGAAACUUUUCUUCUACGGAAGUUCCUGGAGCUUUGACUCCAGGCCACAGCCAACACAUCCUGGUGCUGCAGGAUUACAAAAAUCACCCUCAAGGAGGAAACUGUAGACCUGGAUUUUUGGAAAAGAAGAGGUAGGCUGGUGUGAUUCUCUAUGACAUGCAAGUUGCACCCUGGAUUGCCUUUCUGUUCGUGAGCACUUCAUAUUUGCUGGCAAUUGGGCAACCAGUGCCAUCACCUCAUUCACUCCUGACAACAACUCAUGUAUACAUGGGUGCCACAGCCAAGCAAGGGUGGGCAAGCUGCCCAGAGUUAAGAGCAGAAUAGGGGUCCCGGUCCAGGGUGGUCUGACCACAGAAGCCCUGCUCCUUACACUGCAUUUGUUUCCUGCCUUGUAAGAAAUGACACAGCCCCAUCUAGGACAUGAAUGAGGAUCUGUUAGGCACCAGGCACCAUUCAGAGCCCUUGGUCAACAUUUUCCCACACAGUCGUUUGGGAAACCUAGUACAGUCCACUAGGUCGGUGCUGUUAUUGGCCUGGCUGUCAAGGAACAACAGGUAUAAAUAUAAAGCUAAUGGUAAGCAAGGUCCCUCCCGGUGCAGUGUGCCUCUCAGUCAGCUGCAUGCUCAGCCACGUUACCCAAGUUAUAUCCUGCUUGGAUGCCCAGAAAGGCUUGAUAAAAACAUGAUGUGUAGAGUCUGAGUGAAGUGUGUAUGUGAGUAUAUGUGUGCGCAUGUAUGUAUGUGAGUAUAUGUGUGCGCAUGUAUGUAUGUGCAUGUGUGUGCAUGUAUGUGUGUGCGCAUGUAUGUAUGUGAGUAUAUGUGUGCGCAUGUAUGUAUGUGAGUAUGUGUGCACAUGUAUGUAUGUGAGUAUAUGUGUGCGCAUGUAUGCAUGUGCAUGUGUGCGCAUGUAUGUAUGUGAGUAUAUGUGUGUGCAUGUAUGUAUGUGAGUAUAUGUGUGCGCAUGUAUGUAUGUGAGUAUAUGCGUGCGCAUGUAUGUAUGUGCAUGUGUGCUUACAUUUGCAUCACAUAUGUAUGUGUCUGUGUGCACAUAUGCACGUGUAUACAUGUGCCUGUGUAUGUGCACAUAAACAGUGUCUUUGAGGGCUUGGCAAUCUGUGUUGAUGUUAUUGAAGCUCUGCACCUGACUUCUGGUCACUUUUCUGUUACUGACCAGCUAAAUAACUUUGAGUAAGUCAUUGAACUUAUUUGGACACUAGUUCCAUCAACUGUUAGAUAUGAGGAUGGGAAUGGAUUGUCUCAAAGAUCCUUUUGAGUUCAAAAAGUCUAUGAUACCAGUGAGAAUGUUCCAAAGCCUUAAUGACACCUCACUGAAUGCAGCUUAAAAUGGCUGCAAGCUGACCAGACGAUUGCAUUCUCCAAGGUGAGCUGCCCUUCAUACCUCAUGCCCUUGAAUAAUGCAGCGUAAGUGUGUUUAUUGUGCCAGCUCUUCUUGUAGUUUUAUUCUAAUCCCUCGUCUCAGGCAACAUUUGUUUUGGCUGCAGUUCGAUACUUCCUCCUUCAGAGCUAUGCUUGGUUUUACCUCUAAUUCUGUGGCCCUCAGGGGCUGGUUGUACUGAUAAACUUUUACAAGUAAAAGGAGCUGUGGAGAUGACCUCCAGCUGGGGCUGAAGGCCUAUACAGCAGCACCUUCUUGCUGAAGCUAAGUGAUCCUCUUGGGGAGGAGGGUUGGGGGUCCAGGGCCCCUGAAGUCAGGAUUCCCCAGUGAGUUGGUCAAUGUGGACUUAGAUCUUGUUGAAAUAUCCAGAAGUAUUUCUAAGUAGAAUAUUUUUGAUCACAGAAACAAGGUAAAUAUUUUUGUCUUCCUUCAGUGGAGGACUUUGGAGCUCUCAGGUGGCUGCUCUCCAUCCCAGGCCUGGCUGUAGGAGGCUACCUGGGUGGGGUGCAGGCCCAUGCCUGGGGUCCUGGCUCCAGAGGCACCACAUGCCACUCAGUGAGGAUAAGAAUCCAUUCUGCAGCUUCUUUCAGCCCCACAUCAAUAAAUGGAGACAGUGGGAAGGGAGCUGUGCUACUUUGAAGGAUUUGGGGGCAGACUAAGAAGAAAACACAUGUGAAAGUGCUUUGUAAGGAUGAGUGCAUGGCGGGGCGACGAGGGGCGUUGGAGGCACAUGCAGCUGGGUAGGAGUUGCACUUUGGUCAUUGGCCAGUUAUGUGGCUUUGGGAACUGUUCAGACUUCUGGAUCUUGGCUUCCUUUUUUGUUAAGUAGGUGAUGAUAGGGAUCUCAUUGGGCUGCUGUGAGGAUGAGGUGUGUUUACAGUGCUUGGCAAAGAGUGGGGCUCCAUGCACAUAACUCCAUUUCCUCUACAUCUACAUUGCUCUGCAAACGAAGGGUGCUAUGACAAUAAACCCACCCCAAGGCCAAAGGAGGGGCGUGCUGGGGGUGGAGAGGGAUGGCUGGGAACUAACUAGCCGGCAUCAGCAAAGGAGGGAUUGUUUUGGUCUUUGUAGGAAAUUAGGAGGAUUGCCUUUCUCAUCUAUUACUUCCAAUGAGUUCUGAUGUUCUGGGGAAUCUUCUCUGAAUGAAUCCUGGUAUUGCUUCAUUUAUACUAUAACUCUGUAGUAUAACUAUAUCCUGUGUAAUCCAAGCCAAAGAUAGAGGGUUUGGGGACGACAGAUAUUUCAACAAUAGUCACUGAGGCAAGGAAUUGUGGAUUCUAGGAUGAGGCAGCAGGUGAAGGGCUUUGGUGCCCACACAGAGGAGAAGAGGGCAACUGGAGCGAGGAAAUGUCUUGCUGUCCUGCCGUUUAGCUCUGGAAGUGUCUCUUGGGACAAUCUUGGAGAAACGUCAACUGAAGUGCUAGUUUAGUAGCAGGGUAGCUGAGUCCUAGCAGUGUUUCGCAUUUCUCCAGUGAAAGCCCUAGAGGACUUGGAUGUCCCCAUCUCUAAAGACACCGGUGGCGGCAGAGGCCCAGCUUCUAAACACUCAGGGUCACACAGGCAUUGGUGCUUGGUAAACGUUUUCUUAUAUAAUUUCAAAGCCAUCUGUGACAUGGCUGUAUCAUCCCCAUUCUACUAGUGAGAAAACCAAUGCCAGGGGAUGGAAAAACAACUUCCUUAUGGUCACACUGCCAGUCAGUGCCUGGUGGGACCCAAGCUGGGCCCCAAUCCCCCAUGUCCCCCUUGGCACCUGUCCUGCUUUAGGGAAGAUGGUCUGUGGUCAAAGCUUAAUCUUUGCUUUGAUAAAGGAUUAAUUCAAAUUUUGGAAUGAAAAGAAGAGAUUUUGAAGCCCUAAAACUGUACUGUGUGACAAAACUCCUGUUCUUGGGAUAUGGUGGCAGAAGUAAGGGAAAGUGUCAGAAAAAGUCCCGCAAGGUGAGAAAAACUGAAAAAGAGACCCCUUUCCUAUAGAGGCUCACGAAGGGGAAAUUGCAACUGUGCGACCCUGUCUGCUAGCUUUCUCUGUCACUUCAUCCCCCAUUCCUGUUGCUGUGUGCACUUUUAUCCAACCCUCUUAAUGUCCAUGGCUGCGCUACCAGCAAAAUCUAACCCCAUCUGCUUGGCUAAGCUUCUUGCGCUCACCUAUACCUGAGGAGUACGACAUCAGGCUUCAGGGCUUAUUGAAGUCAUUACUCACAUCAUUGCACUAAUCACAAACAGAAGUGAAAGUUGUAAAUUGUAUAUAAUUACAUUUCAUAGAGAAAAAAGUAGAUUUAAAAAUGGCAAUUAAUAUUCUUAAUAGCCAAAAGUUAUUGCUAAUUAAUAAGAAAAACAUAAGCACUCCAAUUGAAAAAAAAUGAGCAAAGGUCAUAAAGACAUAAAACUCGCCUGUGGAAACAUACGUAGAGGAAACACAGAAUUAGUGAGUGUGUGUAUGGAAAUAAAUGGAAGGAUAAUGCUUGCUACCCAGUGUGGGCUUUGGGGGUAGAUCUACCUGGACUGAGUUCUGGAUUCACUAUUUACUAGCUCCAUGACCUUCAGCAAAGUAACCUCUCUAAGCCUUUGUUUUUAUCUGUAAAAUAGGGAUACUUAUUUUCCCUGCCUUGAGGGGUUAUUGUGAGGAUAAAAGAAAAUAAUUCUGUAAAGGGCUUAGUAAAGUGCCUGGUGCAGAGAAAUUUUUCAGUGCAGAUUAGCAAUUGUCACUGCUAGUAGUAUAUUUGCAUUGAUAACAAUUAGUAAUUUAACAUCUCACUGAAAUCAAAGAAAUGCAAUUAAAACAACAAAUACAUAUUAUUUGUUACUUAUCAGAUUGGAAAACAGGUGAAAAGAUUGACAGUAACCACUGUUGGUUAGAUGUGGAGAGAUGGGUUCUCUUGUGCAAUUCUGGGAUGGUAGGACCUGAUGCCCCAUUUCUGCAGGGCAAUUUGGCAAUAUACAUUAACGUUGAACAUUCUGAUAGUUUUUGACCCAGUCAUUCUUCUCUCAGAAACUUAUUCCUGGGAGAUAACUGAACAAAUGCACAAUAAUGAAUAUAUAAGAAUGUUUAUCCUGGCAUUUUUUUUUAUAGAAACAAAAAUUCAGAAGCAACUUAAACAUCCUUCAGUGAGAUUGACUAAUAAGUCCUGCUUCAUUUUUAUGACAGAAUGCUACUACUAAUAGCAGUGUUCUAGAUUUUCAUCCACCAUCAUGGAUAAAGCUCUCCGUCAUGUGGAUGGAAUCACUGCGGUAGGAGGAUUCCUGAGGCAUUACCUGGAUAGUCUCAUCUGGCUGGACAUGCAGGAGAACUGGGAGACUGCCGAGACUGCCACGUGGGGUGACUUGAGGGAUCUUUGACACUCUCUGUCUUAAUCUGUUUUGUGUUGCUAUAACAGAAUACACAGACUAAGUAAUUUAUAAAGAAAGGAAAUUUACUUCUCACAGUUUUGGAGGCUGAGAAGUCCAAGACUGAGGGGCUGGCAUCUGACGAGGGCCUUCUUGCUGCUUCAUUCCACGGCAAAAUGGCAAAGAGAAGGUGAGAGAGAGCAAGAGGGUGAACUCGCAGGGUCUGGCUUUUUUAUAAUGGCAUGGAUCCAUUCAUGAGGGUGGAGCUGUCGUGAUGCAACUCCUCCCAUUAGGCCCGACCUCCCACCACCAUUGCAUUGUGGGUUAAGUUUCCAACUCAUGAUUUCUGGGGGACACAUUCAAACCAUAGCACCCUGUGCAACCUACCCUGAACAACGCUAUUAUCCAUCUCUUCUUUUCCUGGUUUGAACUUCCCACUAUAAAUAAAAAUUCCAAAAUGCCUUACAUAAGCCUUGUCCUAUGAUGUGCACCACAUUUAGCAAACACUGUUCCGUUUGAGCCGCACAACAACCCUUCAAGGCAGGCGAAGUGAGACUGAUUAUCCUCAUUUUACAGAUGAGAAGAAAGGCUCAAAGGGACGGUGGGACUUGACUGAGGACCCAGCACCUCCUGGACCUGAAUCAAGGCCCUCUGUCCCGCUGCUUUUGUUGUUGUUUACCCUGCAACUUCACAGCCCUUCAGAAGGCCCUGGACAUCAUGUGCAAGCUCCGUGGAUGGCCUGAGAUUCAUCCUUCCAAGUUGUUUUCUGACUGAGAGGCAACAUUUUAAAUUGUGAUCCCCCCUUACCCCACCACACACACUGAAACAAAAGUUUCAAGAAGUCAUUACCACACAAUGACUCAGAUAUGUUCUAGUCUAGUCUGUCUAUUCCAUUCCAUUCCAGUCUCUUUCCAAACGAAAAUAAAAGGAAGGAAAUGCUGCAUGCGACUUGGUAAGUUAAUUUCAGGACACCUUGGGACUGCUUCCUGCUGCAUGAGGCAUCAGCACACAGCAGGGGAUAUUUUGCAUUCCUGUGUGCACCGUGGGUUAGACAGGCUGCUUGGCCCUAAGUGGAGAAUGGAACUCCAGUAGAAAGGCUGAGAUGCACUGCAAGUAACCACUGCAGAAAGGAGAGGAUGCCCACAGGCAGGCUGAAGUGGACCCGUGUGGAAGGAACACUUCAAGACCACUGGCCAAGAGACUUCCUUCAUUUUUAUCCCUUCCUGUUUUUCGCCUGUGCUGAGGAUUCACCACCAGUGUGGGGAGCCUCUGACUGUAAAAGGAAAGCUGACUCUGGCUCCUUCGUGUUUUCUGUUAAGUUGGGGCCUAAGUUUUUCUGCCAGCCUUUGCGGAGGAAAUGCAGCUUCCCUGGCACACUGCCCGGUCAAGGGACGUUGAAUCCAUUGCAAUCAGCAGUUGAAGAUCCACACUACAGGCCAUGUUCUUAAAAUAAGUGGCUCCAGGACUUCCAAGAGGCAGAAGGGGCUUCAGCUGGCCAUGGGCAGGAUCCAAGUGGAGCUUCAUCCCUGCAGAGCAAUGCCUGGCUCUCAGCGGAGGCAGUCUGGAGCAGGGCUUCUACCCUUUUCAGCUCAUAGAUUACUUUGGAAUCUGAUGAACACUGGGAGCCUUCUCCUUAGAAGAACAUACAUAUGCACGAGAAUGAGACAAUUACAUAACAUUCCUUGGGUUUCACAGAUGCUGAAGCCAAUGACUUGCUUGAAGCCUGGAAGAGGGUGUUGACCUGGAGAAUCCUAAAGGCCAAAAUUUAGAGAAAAUGGUGCCAGUAAAUGAAUUCACAAGGAGAAAUGCUUCCUUGCCAACUCACUUCUCCAGAUUAUUGAGUGCAUCUAUCUGUUUGCUUUUGGCUUCACGCAAUUGGCCCUCUUCAGUUCCGUACUCUUUCCUAAAUACCUUGCAAGUUUUCCUCUUCUCUCAUGCCAUUUAUAAUAUGCUGACGCCUGAUUAGAGGAAGGAAGGACUCAGCUGCACUUGCACUGGGGGAAGGGCCACUUACAGGAAGCCUACCUGGGGCUGAGCUGGGUCUCACUGCCUCCUAGACCUAAGGGCCCCAGCUUUUCCCUCAUCUCUUGUUGCAGCCACCACUUGUUCUAGAUCUGCAUCCAUAUCUGUAAAAUGGGGGUGAUAAUACCUUCCCAUAAAGUCACUGUGAGGAUUAAAUGUCCGGCACAAUAUUUGAUGCAUAGUGGUGCUGAAUAAUAUUUAUUGUCAUUACUAUCAUUAUUAUUGGCUGCUACCUUCAUUUUGAAAUUCUAUCCAUGAGCUACAUUAAUUAACCUGCAUUCAGUGUCAGGAUGUAUUUCUUAAUUUAGAUUUUUAAAUUUUUAGAGCAUGUGGCUAACCAUGAAUGUUGCAUUUUCUCAGUACCUAUUUAUUCAUAUGAAACUAUAGGUCUGGGCUCAGAGUUCAUCAAUAUUUAUAGAGAAGGCUCUACCUGUUGAGCACUGUGCUAGGCAUCCCCAGAGAUGCUGGCCUACUUCAUGCCUUAGGCAGCCCCACACGUGAGCAUUACUAACCCAUUGCUGCUAUGAGAGCAUUCAGAAAGAAAGCAGUUUAAGUUGCUUGACUAAACUGGUAGAGUUGAAAUUAAACUCUGUCUCUUCAUGUUACUGGACUGCUUGGAUAUCUACUUUCAGAAAGACUACAGCUUGAUAUAAACAUUGUAGUUUUGCUCAUGGAAAACUUACAGUAAAUCUGGGCUGUUUCAACACAACUGUCAAACUGUUCACCUACAGCUGUAUUUUCUCUUGCAAUGGGUGAAUAAGGUACAAUGAUGGUUGUACAGACCAUUACUAUUAUUACCUGUUAAUUUACAUUUAAACAGAUUUAUAAUUUCUGGCCCUGAUUUCCAGUCCAGUAUACAGCAAAAAUCCAUAUUUUAAACUAAAAAUAAUGUGCUUUUCAUAAAAUCAUAAAGAAACCCACCUGGCUAUUGUCUGGGGACUUGCGAGAAGGAUCCUUUGUAGUUUUCUUCCAUGUCUUCUAAGGAAUAGUUUGGAACACAUAGUAAAUAGUCAAUUAAUACCAAAGGGCAUUUGCAAAACUAUCAACUCCCAGUUUAUAUAAAGGACCAGCCACCAGAAUUAUACAUGAAUUAAAAAGUUAGCACACCAUAGUCAGAGAAGGACAACUUGGGAAUAGUUGUGUAACAGCCGUGAGGGUAAGCGAAGGGUCUGUCUACCUGUGCCUUCCCAGAAUACUGCCUCUCUUCUGGUCUGCUUUGGGAACAGUCAACAGGAAAGAAAAAGUAGACAGAUAGAGUCAGUGCGCUGAAUAAAAGAAGAUUCUAGAUCACUACAAGAGGCUUGUCAUUUGAGGCAAAGUGUCUGAGAGAGGAAGGUUUUUAUGGCCUCAAUGGGGAGACUGGUCACUGAUAAAGCGUUCUGGAUCUUUUGUGGGCCGGAAGAUAAGUUGAGUUUUGGUUAAUGUUUAAUGAUGCAGAACAAAAGUCAUAAAUAGUCCAUGAGAAAUAAGAGCACAAAUGAUUGGGAUUGGACAGUUUGCUUAUUCAGCUGCAAAAUGUGCUGUGUUCUAUUCUUGUCAUCCCCCCAUGGUAUAACAAAAUGCAGUGUGACAAGGAAUAUAAAUGUCCCCUAAUGCAUGGGCAGCUUUUUCUGUUCUAAGAGAGUCAGCAUGAGUCACUC
rnacentral:lncRNA from 1 species